rnacentral:SRP_RNA from 1 species
GCCUAAUGUGGCCAUCCCUACUAUGGCAGGGAGGCUGAGGCUGGUGGAUUACUUGAGCCCAGGAAUUUUGAGGUACAGUGCACCAAGAUGAUUGGUUUUCUGCCCUGAGGGUAGCACCACUAAGGAGAGGCCCUGGGAGCAGGGGGCCACCACACUGCCUAAGGAUGGGUGAACAGGUUUAAGUGAGAAGCAGAGCAGGUCAAAGCUUCCAUGUCUAUCAGCAGUCUGGUCCAUGAAUGGCUACUGUAUUUUCAGCCACAGUGAGAUAGGAAGACCCAAUCUCA